ACAACCAAAGUCUCUUGAAGUGCUUUCAAGCAUUCUGUGAGAUCCAUGUCUUAAAGCAUCUUCUGACAAAAUCCUAGUGUUGUUCCAAAGGUUUCCAUUACACACCUGUAGUUGAGUUUUUUCCUCAAAUUGAGAUCAGCUGAAGGGUCUUUAUGCAGCUAGUUCACAAGUGUUGCUGGCUUACAGGGAAACCUGAUGUGAUAGAAGAGCUGCAAAGUCAUAACAAACAGCUGUAGCACUGCCUUAGUUUGGUUUCUGUCUAAAUAUAAAGAAGGCGAGAACAGCCUGAGGAAACAACACUAAGUAUUUGCUCCAGCCAGCAUACUCUUCUGCUAUAUGACAUCCUUUCCUCCAUUCACCAAGGGGCAAUUUUAAAAGUAUCCUUCCCAUGAAGGAUUUCAUCAGAGAAAUCCACGAUUACAGGAUGGUCCGCAGUUUCUCUGCAGUAGAGCCUCAGCUCUUCUCAAUACCAGUGAAAUUAUCUGGGACUUCCUGACAUGGCAGUUGCAUGAAAAAAUGGUUAAAUAAAGAAAGGCUGCUUCCUCUGUCUUCUCUGAUGCAUUUUUGGCAGCAGCUACUUCAAGACGUGCCAAAUAAACACCAACUCCACAAAAGAGCUACAGGGAAGCAUUUAAGGGAGCAUGAAAUGGUACUGGAAACUGAAAACCAAGAAAUCAGAUGGUGGAGAAUAGUUGAGUGACUAAUGUUCUUCGGUGCUAUUUUGGCAGCAGGCUUGCAAUCAUCCCUAUAGAAAUGAAGGAGGUAAAUUUACGGUCAAAGAAAGAAGGGUCUUCAGGACCUUUCAUUCUACAAAUGGGAUUUAAGGCAAGCUGAGUAAAUUGUUCUCACUUGUUUCUAGCAGAAAUGAGCUUUCGCUUGUAUAAGAAUUUUGCCAUAAAGGCAUAGAUGCUCCAGUUAUAUAGUUAAAAAUGCAACUGCAACUUUAAAGGUGAGAGAACAGAGACGAAGAGAUGAGCAAGCAGAGAUCAGACUACUUUGUUACUAACUCACCAGGAGACCAUUUUUCCCUCUUCAGGAUACAUACAGCGCAUGUUUAAGGGAGUUAAUUUAAGGGGGGAUUUCUGUAUCCUGCAGGAAGAGAAUUGGCCCCACAGGGUCGUUAAAUAGACCAGGGUACAAGUUAUGACUGGUCAGCUACCACAUUCUUCUUUUAUCUUCCCUGGCAGAUUCUUUCAUGUAUAAACUCUGAGGGCAAUCCUGCUCCUUUAUUUCUGCCUUGAGAGACUCCUCAGGAGUCCACACUUUUACCUGGCCCAGUCUUCACCAGAAGUGGUCCCAACUACUUCCAUUCCCAUGAUGUCCUUUCCUUAGGUAGGAAUUUGCCUGCUCUUUUUCUGAAGCUCAAGCAGGAUUAAUAGUUAGUUGUCAGACAUAGCCAUAUGGUAUGGAGCUCAAAAUGCUCUAACUGCCUGGGUAUUUAUUUACCUGGGGCUCUGAGCUCCGCAUUGCUAUAGCUAUGUCACCAUCAGUUCUCAAAAUAGCUAGUUUAAUGCUAGGUCGAGUACAUCUAACCAGGUAGCAGUCAUACAUUUGUUGACUGAAGAGACAUACUUUACAGGUUAUGCUGUCAUUACGUGCUAACCUUGGAUUAAAUAAACCCAGUAAAUGGAGGCUAGAGUGCCCUAACUUGCUACAUUGCAGUCCUUCUAUUAUUAACUAUGCUGCUGAAUGUGUGAAAGUGUGGGGGCUUAACAAAAACUUGAUAGAAGCAAAGCCCUGUGGUAGCUGGCAAUGACAGAUUAACCUUUCCCUUGCUGCAGAAUUUGCACAACAUACUCUCAGGCAGUGCCACUGGAACAAAGCAGAGCAGUACAAGAAACAUUAUUAUGGGUAUAAAAAAGGAUUGUCAACAAGCACUGUCAUUCAAAUCACCUUAGGAGAGAGAAGGGCUUAGCACCAAUAAGAAACUCCAAAGUGAAGGUCUCACUUGAGGCAAGAGGAAGAGUGAGAUAACUGGUGGCAAGAAACAGUACAGAAGAUGAGAAUGAGUGGAGGAAAAGAAGGUAAAUUCUGGACUGUUUGACGACAAGGUGUGCACAUCUAGUGUCCUGAGGAAUGAAUGCUGAGAGGAUAUGUAGGAACUGCCAAAGCAAUGUGUUGUAUUUGAGGACUGUGGGCCAUCUCCAUGGAGAAUAUGUCAGAAACACCAUCCACCUCAGCAUCCUGAGGUUGCUGAAAUCUGGCAGGGCAAUUUUGAAAUAUGAAGGGACAGUCCCGGUGAUCGUUCAUGGAAAAUGCGUGGUCAGGGAGAUAUGGACGACUUAGCAGAAACACAAAUGUUGUGGUCCAGGAUGUGCUUUGUUCUGGGACAGCAGAAACUGUGGAAUACCAUCUUACAGAUUUUGCUGUUCCUGGGCAAAAGAAGUUAGGAUAAGCUUAUUAAGAUGACGUCACUCUGAUGGCCUAGUAUACCCUUCAGCACCACCAAGAGUUAAGAGAAAUCAGAUUUACUCCAAGUUAUCACACUUCAUUUUUUCCC